CGUCGGAUCUGUAUUCUGGCGCGUCUGAGCCAUCGGAUCUUCACAGCAGUCAAAACUAAUUUUCACCGCGGUCGUUUUCAUUGUCCAAUGACGGGUGGGCUUGUGUGGCGUGGUGGUUGGCUGGGUUGCCUGUUUUCGCGUGCAGGGCGUUUUGCCCAAUCCGCACCGCGCGCUCCGCACCCAAUCCCUCGUCUCCCAGGCACAGCCCACACCGGACAAACCCUAGCCUCACCAAGCCCCACAUCCCGCACUCCUCCCUCCUCCUCCAUCCUCGUUAGCCGCCGUCGCCGCCGUUUUGCCUCCCUCCUCUCUGUCCUACAACCACGUCGUCGUGAGGAAGCUGCCGUUCGUGGCGCUGUACCGCUCUCGGGGUGCUGCGCAAGCUUCGUUCCCCACAGCCCCUCGCUCAUCCUCGCUCGUCACCGCCACUGCCUGCUACUCCCCUCCACCACCGUUGAUGCUUCUGGGUUGAAUCUGGCAUUGGUGGGUCGGAGCUCGAGCUAGAGGCCGAGACGGGGAAGGUCAGAAAAAGGAGAGACCGGAUGGAGGUGCUCGAGGCCGAGGAAGCUACCGAUGGUGAGAUCCCUCUCCCCAUAUCUAUUCUCUUAGUUUUUCUCCAUCAGCACAACUAGCUUCACUAGCCAUCCGGUGGUUGGAGCACGGGGCAACGCUCCGGUCGCGAUGGGGUGGAGCUGCACAGGUGAGGGAGGAGGCUGGCACAGGGAACCGGGCCAGGGAGGAGGCAAGGUAGUUUUAGAGAACUUCUGGAUAUACAUGCAAUUCCAGCUGGCGACUGGCUUCCUUUUGUUACGCUCACCGGCGCUCGCCGUCGCCCAGCCGGCGAGCCUUCCCCAGUCGCCGACCAUGGCCACUACUACCGCUUCUUCAAACCCUGCUGCUUCCGCCAGCAGCCUCCGUGCUUUUCAUGGCCUCCCGCGGUUCUGCCCAGGCCCGACCCGGCCGCCGUCAUGGACCCUAGCGAUGAGAGGUGGUCGGCCGUGGUGACGACGAACCCCAGCUCGCCCGUGGCGUCGUAGGCAGAGAAGCUGUCGGCGACCUGGAACUGAACCCCCAGAUAGGGGCCUGGAGUAGCCGCUCCUGCUUCUGUCGUCUCACUUCUGUGUCGCUGCUUCGCAACUCGACACCGCCACUGGAGCUGAACUUUCAAGGAUUUUGGAGCCAUUCACGUAAUAUUUACUUAUAGACAAUUGAUGUGCUGCAAGUGAGAUUAUCAACUAAAAAGAGGUCUGAAACACUUAUUCAGGAAGGGGAGAAAUAAUACCCUUUUUUUAGGAAGGGAAGAAAUAUGAUUUUCAUAGGUAUGAAUCGAGCCUGCUUGUGUAGUAAGAGAAAGCAGUUUUUAAAGGAAGUAUUAGACCAUCCAAAAGAUUGAUCUCUUGUGAUCUUCCGGCUAUUGUACAACAUCAAUAUUCUGCUCGUUAAAGCUUCCUUUGCUCAUUC